rnacentral:rRNA from 1 species
UAGGGAAUCUUCCGCAAUGGACGAAAGUCUGACGGAGCAACGCCGCGUGAGUGAAGAAGGAUUUCGGUUCGUAAAACUCUGUUGUUAGGGAAGAAAAAAUGUAUAGUAAAGAUAUACAAAAGAGACGGUACCGAACCAGAAAGCCACGGCUAACUACGUGCCAGCAGCCGCGGUAAUACGUAGGUGGCAAGCGUUGUCCGGAAUUAUUGGGCGUAAAGCGCGCGCAGGUGGUUUAGAAAGUCUGAUGUGAAAGCCCCCGGCUCAACCGUGGAGGGUCAUUGGAAACUAAUAAACUUGAGUGCAGGAGAGAAAAGUGGAAUUCCUAGUGUAGCGGUGAGAUGCGUAGAGAUUAGGAGGAACACCGGUGGCGAAAGCGGCUUUUUGGCCUGCAACUGACACUGAGGCGCGAAAGCGUGGGGAGCAAACAGG